GGAAGUCUUCGGCAAUGGACGAAAGUCUGACCGAGCAACGCCGCGUGAGUGAAGAAGGUUUUCGGAUCGUAAACUCUGUUGUUAGAGAAGAACAAGGGUGAGAGUAACUGUUCACCCCUUGACGGUAUCUAACCAGAAAGCCACGGCUAACUACGUGCCAG
rnacentral:rRNA from 1 species